UAAAAAAAAAAAAGGGGGCACCCGAAAAUACACGUGAGUAAUCUGCCCUUCACUUCGGGAUAACCGCCGGAAACGGCGGCUAAUACCGAAUACGACGCACUCUCGCAUGGGAUGUGCGUGGAAAGUUUUCUCGGUGAAGGAUGUGCUCGCGGCCUAUCAGCUUGUUGGUGAGGUAACGGCUCACCAAGGCUUCGACGGGUAGCCGGCCUGAGAGGGUGACCGGCCACACUGGGACUGAGACACGGCCCAGACUCCUACGGGAGGCAGCAGUGGGGAAUAUUGGACAAUGGGCGAAAGCCUGAUCCAGCAACGCCGCGUGAGGGAUGACGGCCUUCGGGUUGUAAACCUCUUUCAGUACCGACGAAGCGCCAAUAACGGUGGUGACGGUAGGUACAGAAGAAGGACCGGCCAACUACGUGCCAGCAGCCGCGGUAAUACGUAGGGUCCGAGCGUUGUCCGGAAUUAUUGGGCGUAAAGGGCUCGUAGGCGGUCUGUUGCGUCGGGAGUGAAAACUUACAGCUUAACUGUGAGCGUGCUUCCGAUACGGGCAGACUUGAGGUAUUCAGGGGAGAACGGAAUUCCUGGUGUAGCGGUGAAAUGC
rnacentral:rRNA from 1 species